GGCUCGUUGGUCUAGGGGUAUGAUUCUCGCUUUCGGUGCGAGAGAUCCCGGGCGCCCGAGAUCCCGGGUUCGAAUCCCGGACGAGCCC